CCUACGGGUGGCAGCAGUGAGGAAUAUUGGUCAAUGGACGAGAGUCUGAACCAGCCAAGUAGCGUGAAGGAUGACUGCCCGAUGGGUGGUAAACUUCUUUUAUAGGGGAAUAAAAUGUUCCACGUGGGGGAUUUUGUAUGUACCAUAUGAAUAAGGAUCGGCUAACUCCGUGCCAGCAGCCGCGGUAAUACGGAGGAUCCGAGCGUUAUCCGGAUUUAUGGGGUUUAAAGGGAGCGUAGGUGGAUUGUUAAGUCAGUUGGGAACGUUUGCGGCUCACCCGUAAAAUUGCAGUUGAAACUGGCAGUCUUGAUUACAGUAGAGGUGGGCGGCCUUC
rnacentral:rRNA from 1 species